rnacentral:lncRNA from 10 species
GUUUCACCAUGUUGGCCAGGCUGGUCUCGAAUUCCUGACUUCAAGUGAUGGGCCUGCCUCAAUGUCCAAAAUUGCUGGGAUUCCAGGAGUGAGCCACCACGUCCGGUCCUGCCAUCAUUCUUAACAAGAGCGCCCCCACCAUCGUCCAGGGAGAGAUGGAAUAUCCAGAGAAGAACAGAGCUCACAGAAGAGUAAAUUAAACAACUGAAGGAAGGUCCCUGUGAGCUGCAGUCCCGGGAGAAGAGGAAACCCUUCAACAUGGAUUCUGGAAAGAACAGCCUUGGCUUUCUUCUGAACAAAAAGUUCUGGCCCAGCUGGACCCGGGGUGGGCACCGGGAGUGCAGGCUGCUAGUCCUCUCCUGCCAGCUUUGCGAGGCGUGGGGAGCACCUGCAGCAUGGCUCACCUGAACCCAGUCCCCAGGCCCAUGGCCUCCGAGAGAUGAACACUGGCUGCCCAGAAGCAGGUGUGGGUAGGAGGGCAGAGGGACUGCCCGCAGGCGUCCCUGGGCUCCCUGGCUCCUUUCUGCUGAUGUGCCGCCUCAGUCGGACAGAGGUUUCAACACACUUGUACCCUUCUCAACACAGGCCAGGCGUCUCCGGGGCCUGGAAGAAAACCAAGGUCAGGGGAUCUCCUAGUUCAACAAGGGAGAACAACAUGUAAGGAAGAUAAAAAUUAAAGCCGUGUCGGAUGUGAG